rnacentral:tRNA from 2 species
GGUUCGGUGGUGUAGUUGGUUAUCACAUCUGUCUAACAUGUCUCGGUCACGGGACAAAUGGACACAGAAGGUCCCGAGUUCAAACCUCGGCUGAAUCA